rnacentral:rRNA from 1 species
GACGAACGCUGGCGGUGUGCUUAACACAUGCAAGUCGAACGGUAAGGCCCUUUCGGGGGUACACGAGUGGCGAACGGGUGAGUAACACGUGAGUAACCUGCCCUCAUCUCUGGGAUAACAGUCGGAAACGGUUGCUAAUACUGGAUAUGAGCUUGCAAGGCAUCUUGUGGGUUGGAAAGAUUUUUUUGGUUGGGGAUGGACUCGCGGCCUAUCAGCUUGUUGGUGAGGUAGUGGCUCACCAAGGCGUCGACGGGUAGCCGGCCUGAGAGGGCGACCGGCCACAUUGGGACUGAGAUACGGCCCAAACUCCUACGGGAGGCAGCAGUGGGGAAUAUUGCACAAUGGACGGAAGUCUGAUGCAGCAACGCCGCGUGCGGGAUGACGGCCUUCGGGUUGUAAACCGCUUUCAAUUGUGACGAAGCUUUUUGUGACGGUAGCAGUAGAAGAAGCACCGGCUAACUACGUG